CCAGUUUUCACAUAUUUUUUUUAUCGAUAUGUUUCUUUUUUCAUCGUUUCUGGCAAACAAAAACAGCUGACCUGGCUGCUUUGUAAAAAUACAGCGUGAUUAAAAUGCCUUUUAUUUUUUCAAUUGCAUGUUUUGAAGCAAAACGAUUGCAGAAAUUACGUGAUCUAAGAAGAUCUAGACAUCUUACAUAGAUGCAAACCUUGUGUAUUUAACAUGUCUGACGAACUAUUUGUGAAGUCAUUUCGGAUCGACAAAAAAACUUUCAAAAUGAUUUUGGAGAAAGUUCAACCCCAUUUAGGUGUUACCAGGAAGUUAUCUCCCUCUACGCAAUUGGCUUCAGUAAUGCGAUAUCUCGCCACUGGCUGCUACCAGUGGGCAGUUGCCAAAGACCACCAUAUAAACAUUGGACGCAGUACAUUUGGAAAGAUUCUUCACAAACUUAUUCCGUUGAUGGACAGGCUGGUAUGUGUUGAGUUCAUUUCGUUGCAGAUGAAUAAUCAUCAAUUGCAA